GCCUUCGUGGUGUAGUGGUCAGCACGCUGGGCGCGUAUUCCAGAGGUCCGUGGUUCGAGUCUCGGCGAAGGCA
rnacentral:tRNA from 1 species